UACGGAGGGUGCAAGCGUUAAUCGGAAUUACUGGGCGUAAAGGGCGCGUAGGUGGUUUGUUAAGUCGGGUGUGAAAGCCCCGGGCUCAACCUGGGAACUGCAUUCGAUACUGGCAGACUUGAGUAUGGUAGAGGGAAGCGGAAUUCCCGGUGUAGCGGUGAAAUGCGUAGAUAUCGGGAGGAACAUCAGUGGCGAAGGCGGCUUCCUGGACCAAUACUGACACUGAGGCGCGAAAGCGUGGGGAGCAAACAGG
rnacentral:rRNA from 1 species